AGUGAACGCUGGCGGCAGGCCUAAUACAUGCAAGUCGAACGGCAGCACAGCAGAGCUUGCUCUGUGGGUGGCGAGUGGGCGGACGGGUGAGGAAUACAUGGGAAUCUGCCCAGUCGUGGGGGAUAACGUAGGGAAACUUACGCUAAUACCGCAUGCGCCCUUCGGGGGAAAGCCGGGGACCGUAAGGCCUGGCGCGAUUGGAUGAGCCCAUGUCGGAUUAGCUAGUUGGCGGGGUAAAGGCCCACCAAGGCGACGAUCCGUAGCUGGUCUGAGAGGAUGAUCAGCCACACUGGAACUGAGACACGGUCCAGACUCCUACGGGAGGCAGCAGUAGGGAAUAUUGGACAAUGGGCGCAAAGCCUGAUCCAGCCAUGCCGCGUGAGUGAAGAAGGCCCUCGGGUUGUAAAGCUCUUUUGUCCGGAAAGAAAAGCGCCGGGUUAAUACCCUGGUGUCCUGACGGUACCGGAAGAAUAAGCACCGGCUAACUUCGUGCCAGCAGCCGCGGUAAU
rnacentral:rRNA from 1 species